rnacentral:rRNA from 1 species
UACGUAGGGGGCGAGCGUUGUCCGAAGUUACUGGGCGUAAAGCGCGCGUAGGCGGUUUCUUAAGUCUGGGGUGAAAGGUUCAGCGCUCAACGCGAACAGUGCCUUGGAUACUGGGAGACUUGAGUCUGGGAGGGGGCAGUGGAAUUCCUGGUGUAGCGGUGAAAUGCGUAGAUAUCAGGAGGAACACCGGUGGCGAAGGCGGCUGCCUGGCCUAAGACUGACGCUGAUGUGCGAAAGCGUGGGGAGCGAACGGG